rnacentral:rRNA from 1 species
CACAGCAAAUAACUACAAAAUAUCACAAGCAAAAACAAACUCCUAGCCCAACACAGAGCCAUUCUAUACUGAUAGAAGAACUUCUGCUAAAACUAGUAACAAGAAUAAUUUCUCCUAGCAUACCCGUGACUCAGAAAUAGAAAAACUACUGAAAAUUAACAGACCAAAAAAGGAACUACAGUCAAAAGCAAAGUCUGUCUUUAGCUCUGUCAAACCGACACCGGAGUGCCAAAAGGAAAGAUUAAAAAUCAUAUAAGGAACUCAGCAAACCCUGUCCCAACUGUUUACCAAAAACAUAGCCUUUAGCCCAACCAGUAUUAAAGGUCCCGCCUGCCCAGUGAAAAUUUUAACGGCCGCGGUAUUCUAACCGUGCAAAGGUAGCGUAAUCACUUGUCUUCUAAAUAAAGACCAGUAUGAACGGCUAAAUGAGGACAGACCUGUCUCCUAUGACUAAUCAGUGAAACUGAUCUUCCAGUACAAAAGCUGGAAUACAGACAUAAGACGAGAAGACCCUGUGGAGCUUCAAACAUCCACUAACAAGCAAAUAAUCUGCCCUAGUGUGUAGUUUUGAGUUGGGGCGACUUCGGAGUAAAAUAAAACCUCCGAGCACAGAGCCACACACUCUCACCAAGACCAACAAGCCAAAGUUAAAACAGCCGACCCAGUAACACUGAUCAACGAACCAAGUUACCCCAGGGAUAACAGCGCUAUCUUCUUCAAGAGUCCCUAUCGACAAGAAGGUUUACGACCUCGAUGUUGGAUCAGGACACCCAAAUGGUGCAGCCGCUAUUAAUGGUUCGUUUGUUCAACGAUUAACAGU